rnacentral:lncRNA from 1 species
GUCCUAGCUGCCUCUCUGCUGCUCCUCUACUGUUCUGAAGAUCACAAUUUUGACCAGAUCCUUUCAAGUCCCAGCCCAGCAUGGCCCCUCCAGGUCACCUCCUGUUCCUGUUCCUGCUCCCAGUGGCCGCAAGUCAGACAAACGAAGGUUCCUGCUCCGGAUGUGGGCCUCUGUCCCUGCCACUCCUGGCAGGCCUGGUGGCUGCAGAUGCGGUCAUGUCACUUCUAAUAGUGGGGGUGGUGUUUGUAUGUAUGCGCCUACACAGCAGGCCUGCCCAAGAUGGUCGAGUCUACAUCAACAUGCCUGGGAGAGGCUGACAGCUGCACCUUCCACUUUUGUCUUCCAACCAUCCUCGAUCGCAUGAGGGUGGGGUAGGGAGCGUGGGAAUGCAUUUUCUUCCGGACUAGAAUAAAGCAUUCAAAUACCUCUAG